rnacentral:rRNA from 1 species
GGAGGAAGAUCUGACGUUACUUGGAGAAUAAGCAUCGGCUAACCCUGUGCCAGCAGCCGCGGUAAUACAGGGGAUGCAAGUGUUAUCCGGAAUUAUUGGGCGUAAAGCGUCUGCAGGUGGAUAAGUAAGUCUUUUGUUAAAUCUUCGAGCUUAACUCGGAACAAGCAAAAGAAACUAUUUAUCUCUGAGUAUGGUAGAGGUAGA